CUCUUAUCCCGAGCUGGUGGAGGGACAGGCCCUAUGAAACCCAGCAACCUGCUAUCAAAGGAAAAGGCGACCUAUCGACGACAUUUUCCGAUGCAAAGGUGCUAACCUGAUGCAAGGCGAAGACCUUGAUCGAUAAGAG
rnacentral:ncRNA from 2 species